rnacentral:rRNA from 1 species
GAUGAACGCUGACAGAAUGCUUAACACAUGCAAGUCAACUGUGGCGGACGGGUGAGUAACGCGUAGAGAACUUGCCUCACGGAUAGGGACAACAUUUGGAAACGAAUGCUAAUACCUGAUCCUGUGAGAGGGCUUUGCGUCCCAUUAGCUAGUUGGAGAGGUAACGGCUCACCAAGGCGAGGAUGGGGAGCCGGCCUGAGAGGGUGAUCGGCCACAAGGGGACAGAGACGCGGCCCUUAGUGCAACGGGAGGAAGCGGUGGGAAAUAUAUGACGAUGUGCCGAAGUCUGAUCAAGGAAUUCGGGGUGCAAGAUGCAGUUUUCGGAAUGUAAAGGGCUAUCAGUUGGGAAGCGGUACCAACAGAAGAAGUGACGGCUAACUACGUGCCAGCAGCCGCGGUAAUUC